UCAAGUCGGGCAGGUCCCCAACCCCCCACCGCACAAACCCUAGCCUCCCAAGCCCGCAGCGCCGCCCUCCUCACUCCUCCUCCAUCUUUCCUCGUCGGCCGUCGCCGCCAUUCUGCUUCGCUCCUCUCUGUCCGAUGGCCACGCCAGUGGGAGGAAGCCGCCGCACAAGAGGACAGGAGACGCCCGUUGGCGAGCUUUCGGGCAGGAAGCCGACGGGGAGCACGCCAUCAACGAGCCCCCGGGGAGGAGCUAUCGGUUGGUCCUGGGUCGUCCACCAAAGGCCGCCGGUUGCGCCGUCGUGAGAGGAGCAGCAGGGGAGGAGAUGAGGAUAUGCCGCCGGCGCCGGACUCCCUCUUCCCUGGCUGCAUCUUCCCCGUGAGCUCCUUCUUCCAUUCCUCUCUUUGCCUCUCCUCCUGCUCCCUCUCCCUCAUGUGCUCCUCCUGUGUGAUUUCGAUUUGGUUGUGUGAUAGACUGAUUGUACUUCAUGGUGCUUGCACGUCCAAGGACAAUUUAUUCCAGUGCCCGGUUCAUUGUCCGUCUCAACCAAACCUCACAUGGUGGUGCGAAUUUAUGCUAGGAAUAAAUGUUCCAGGGUUGGAGAAGAGGGGGUUGAGCAGCAGCUGAGCUUAGGCAUGGAUUUACAGAUUCAAAAUUUUCUUAUACACUUGCUCGGCGCACACCAGCUAGGCAGGCCAGGGGAUGAAGGUACAAUGCAGUGAGUGCAGCAGCGGCAGUGGGGAAACCCCUCCUGGCCGAGCCUCAUCCCUAGCCUCUACCUGCAGAGGAGAACCCCAGGAAAGCUAAAAGUUUGUGGAGGAGCGCCGACACAGAGGGUAUUUCAGACUCAAGAUUGAUCUGGUAGUGCACGUGGUGUGGUGUGCCAUAAGCAAGAAUAUCUUAUCUGCGCCAUGACAAUAAGGGCUUGCUGCAGCCAGGCAGUUCUUGGGAGUAUGGUGCUUCGAUUUGGUUCCUGUGGUGAGCGUAUAUGGAGAGCCUAGAAGCAGCAGGGGUCCGCGGAGCAGCGGAUGCGGUCAAUGGAGUAGCAGGAUCAAGGAGCUCAAGAUGGUUCAGGAAGAGUGCCUACAGAGAUUACAUAACUGGAUAGAGGUGCCUUAUGAUAGUAUAGCUAAAGAACAACAUGUAUGAGUAGACUGCCACCUAUGUGUUUCAUUUUUAUUUGUUGUGAUAUUUCACACACCCCAUAUUGGCACCCCCUCUAUAUUCCCACUCUUAUAGACUUGCAGAAACACAUGCUGCUUGUCUCUAUUUAUCUUGGUCUUUACAUUAUAAAUUAAAACGUAGCUGGAAAGAAUUAUGGGUCCUUUUGGCAUGAAGCUCGAGAAUGAUAAUACCACCUCAAGUGGGGAUAAAGCAGAACAAGAAAUAGAUGAGAUGUAGUUACUAAAACUAGAAAAAAAUACUCUUCUGAUUAUGCAUAUGUAAAGUCAUGAUUAUGUGUGGACCAGAUGUGUGCUCUUUUCCAUUGCAUACGAGAUUGUCGGUUAAAAAAGUUUUUUGUCUUCCAGCAAUGAGCUUUCAUUUUCAUUGUGGAGGUUUGUUCGGUUCAUCUCCUCUGGUUAUUUUUUUCAAUUUGUCUCUUCAGAAGUUUGGGUGCCUCUGUUUUGCUAAUUUUUAGUUCUCAUCAUUAAGGUUUGUAUCUUUCCUCCCCUCUCGGAUUGUUGCAUCCUUAUUGUGUCUCAUCGUUAAGGUGGCACAUACAAGUAUUAAUUUGUUUAGUUCUGCUAAAGUACCGCUGAAAAUUCAAAUUCUAUAUACUUCACUUUUGGCUAUACAGGAGAAUACAGUACACACAUUUGAUUAGUGAUUAAAUGUGAAGAGCAUUGUGCAUGUUUUUCUGAAUGUGGAUUAAUCAAAUUUUAUUGCUUUAUGGUGAGAUGAAUAUGUUGAUUAUAAUGAUAUAAUGUUAAGAGAUUUUCAAGUGUAAGCUUGUAGCAAAUUAUCUUCUAAUCCAGACUCCAUAUCAUUAUUUAUAUUGUAACACAAAUGUGUUCUAUUAUACUCCCAGCCUUGGUACAUGAAGGCAUGAUAUUACCCCUCUCCCCCUGCCCCUUCUAUGUAUUUUUGAUUUGUUUGUGUGACUAUUGAAUGGUGCUUGCAGGUCCAUGGACAUUGCCAAAAUUUUCACUUUAUUGCAGUGUCGUAUUUUCAGAUCUCAUGUUCCUCAAGGCUUGCUCUCACUGCUGCUCUAGACAGGGAACGUUGAUGAUAACAUACAGGGCCUCUCAGUCUUUAACCCCGAUUAUAAAAAUCCAUUGAUGGAAGCCGGGGAGGGCCGAGAUGAACAUCCGGCUCCUGGGUCUAAGCCAUCGAGAUGAUAGAGACGACGUUUCCAUGCCAUCUACUCCAGCAGCCGGACAAGGCAUAUAAAAACCAUGGAUCCUUGCUCCCCAGGCCGCAAAUUGAUCGCAGUGAUGUCUACGACCUCCUCCUAGAUGUAUUAAUCUCAAUCUCAUGUUUGGUUUUCUUCCCUUUUCUCUUCUAAUGAUGUAAUUUCUUUUACUAAGAUAACACCAUGUUUGUUGUAAUGCCUUAUUUGAUGUAAGAUCCCUUUUCUACUUUGAAUGAAUUUACUGCAUAUAUUUCUUAUUUAGUUUAGUUCA